GACGAACGCUGGCGGCGUGCUUAACACAUGCAAGUCGAACGAAGAGCGAUGGAAGCUUGCUUCUAUCAAUCUUAGUGGCGAACGGGUGAGUAACGCGUAAUCAACCUGCCCUUCAGAGGGGGACAACAGUUGGAAACGACUGCUAAUACCGCAUACGAUCUAAUCUCGGCAUCGAGGAUAGAUGAAAGGUGGCCUCUACAUGUAAGCUAUCACUGAAGGAGGGGAUUGCGUCUGAUUAGCUAGUUGGAGGGGUAACGGCCCACCAAGGCGAUGAUCAGUAGCCGGUCUGAGAGGAUGAACGGCCACAUUGGGAAUGAGACACGGCCCAGACUCCUACGGGAGGCAGCAGUGGGGAAUCUUCCGCAAUAGACGAAAGUCUGACGGAGCAACGCCGCGUGAGUGAUGACGGCCUUCGGGUUGUAAAGCUCUGUUAAUCGGGACGAAAGGCCUUCUUGCGAAUAGUGAGAAGGAUUGACGGUACCGGAAUAGAAAGCCACGGCUAACUACGUG
rnacentral:rRNA from 1 species